GCCGGGAUGGCACAAUCUGGUACUGCGGCAGCCUCGAGAGCUGCUUUCCGAGAGGAUAUCUGGGUUCGAAUCCCAGUCCCGGCG
rfam:Candidatus Woesearchaeota archaeon CG1_02_47_18 cg1_0.2_scaffold_16028_c, whole genome shotgun sequence.